CAGAAAUCCAAAAGCGGAAGGGCCAAACUAAUCAAGUCCAUCAAGCAGUGAGUCAUCAAUUUCCCUAAAAUUAUGUGUUCAUGGUGUCAUAUUGGAGCUGUCAAAUUAAGGAAAAUAAGGUGGUUUUCAUGUGCUUGCGGAAUCCAACUAUUCAAACAAUUGAAGAAUAAUAUGAGGAAGAAAAUAGCAUGACACUAACAAAGACUGAGGCAAUUGAAAAAUGGAAUGACACUAUUCAAACUAUUAGAUAUCUUUUUUUUUCUCUCUUGUAGUUUCCAAUUUCUUUUUACUGUAACAAUUGUGAACAACCAACUAGACAUGUUAGUUGAUUAAGGUGUUUAUAUAAAUGACAAUUAUUUUUUAUCUAUAUAGUAGCUUUUUAUUGAUUCAUUAAA